GUCGACGAGUUCCCGUUGAUGAUCGGUGCUUGCACCGAGAUUCAACAUGGAACGAGUGGCGGACGGGUGAGUAACACGUGGGUAACCUGCCCUUAAGUGGGGGAUAACAUUUGGAAACAGAUGCUAAUACCGCAUAGAUCCAAGAACCGCAUGGUUCUUGGCUGAAAGAUGGCGUAAGCUAUCGCUUUUGGAUGGACCCGCGGCGUAUUAGCUAGUUGGUGAGGUAAUGGCUCACCAAGGCGAUGAUACGUAGCCGAACUGAGAGGUUGAUCGGCCACAUUGGGACUGAGACACGGCCCAAACUCCUACGGGAGGCAGCAGUAGGGAAUCUUCCACAAUGGACGCAAGUCUGAUGGAGCAACGCCGCGUGAGUGAAGAAGGCUUUCGGGUCGUAAAACUCUGUUGUUGGAGAAGAAUGGUCGGCAGAGUAACUGUUGCCGGCGUGACGGUAUCCAACCAGAAAGCCACGGCUAACUACGUGCCAGCAGCCGCGGUAAUACGUAGGUGGCAAGCGUUAUCCGGAUUUAUUGGGCGUAAAGCGAGCGCAGGCGGUUUUUUAAGUCUGAUGUGAAAGCCCUCGGCUUAACCGAGGAAGCGCAUCGGAAACUGGGAAACUUGAGUGCAGAAGAGGACAGUGGAACUCCAUGUGUAGCGGUGAAAUGCGUAGAUAUAUGGAAGAACACCAGUGGCGAAGGCGGCUGUCUGGUCUGUAACUGACGCUGAGGCUCGAAAGCAUGGGUAGCGAACAGGAUUAGAUACCCUGGUAGUCCAUGCCGUAAAC
rnacentral:rRNA from 1 species